GUAGGGGGUCAACAGGUCCCGGUCCUAGGCCUUACUGUAGGGUGUCACAGGUUCCCGGUCUAGGCCCUUACUGUAGGGUGUCAACAGGUCCCGGUCUAGGCCUUACUGUAGGGUGUCAACAGGUCCCGGUCUAGGCCUUACUGUAGGGUGUCAACAGGUCCCGGUCUAGGCCUUACUGUAGGGUGUCAACAGGUCCCGGUCAGGCCUUACUGUAGGGUGUCAACAGGUCCCGGUCUAGGCCUUACUGUAGGGUGUCAACAGGUCGCGUCUAGGCCUUACUGUAGGGUGUCAACAGUCCCGGUCUAGGCCUUCUGUAGGUGUCAAACGGUCCCGGUCUAGCCUACUGUAGGGUGUCAAAGGUCCCGGUCUAGGCCUUACGGUAGGUGUCAACAGGUCCCGGGUCUAGGCCUUACUGUAGGGUGUCAACAGGUCUAGGCCUUACUGUAGGGUGUCAACGGGUCUAGGCCUUACUGUAGGGUGUCAACAGGUCCCGGUCUAGGCCUUACUGUAGGUGUCAACGGGUCCCCGGUCUAGCCUUACUGUAGGGUGUCAACAGGUCCCGGUCUAGCCUUACUGUAGGGUGUCAACAGGUCCCGGUCUAGGCCUUACUGAGGGUGUCAACAGGUCCCGUCUAGGCCUUACGUAGGGUGUCAACAGGUCCCGUCUGGCCUUACUGUAGGGUGUCAACAGGUCCCGGUCUAGGCCUUACUGUAGGGUGUCAACAGUCCCGGUCUAGGCUUACUGUAGGGUGUCACAGGUCCCGGUCUAGGCCUUACUGUAGGGUGUCAACGGGUCUAGGCCUUACUGUAGGGUGUCAACAGGUCCCAGCCCUGCCAGACAUCACUCGUCUUAUACAAACAAACAAAAAUUCUCCUGUUUAUUAAAAACCAAAUAAAUCUGUGAUCAUGAAUAGUUUGUUUGCUGUGUUUUUAUUAUGUGUGGUGAUCAGCUUGUUUUAAGCUGACAUUGAAUGGUUCAGAUACUGUGUGUUUGUCUGAAUUGGCACCCUAUUCCCGAUAUAGUGACCUGUAGGGAACCCUGGUCCACUGUGGGGCCCUACAGGGAAUAGGUGCCAUUUGGGAUCUGCGUGUUUCUGUGGUCUUGCUUAAAGCGGCAAUAUGUAACUUUUUGGGGCGACCCUGACCAAAUUCACAUAGAAAUGUGUGUUAUAUAUUUGUCAUUCUCAUUGAAAGCCAGUCUAAGAAGCGGUAGAUCUGUCCUAAACUCGGCAGCAAAAGAAGCGUCCCUUUUUCAGGAUCCUGUCUUUCAAAGAUAAUUAGUAAAAAUCCAAAUAACUUCACAGAUCUUCAUUGUAAAGGGUUUAAACACUGUUUCCCAUGCUUGUUCAAUGGACCAUAAACAAUUAAUGAACAUGCACCUGUGGAAUGGUCGUUAAGACACUAACAGCUUACAGAUGGUAGGUAAUUAAGGUCAGUUAUGAAAACUUAGGACACUAAAGAGGCAUUUCUACUGACUGAAAAGAAAGAUGCCCAGGGUCCCUGCCCAUCUGUGUGAUGCCUUAGGCAUGCUGCAAGGAGGCAUGAGGACUGCAGAUGUGGCCAGGGCAAGAAAUUGCAAUGCCUAAGACAGCGCUACAGGACGGACAGCUGAUUGUCCUCGCUGUGGCAGACCACGUGUAACAACACCUGCACAGGAUCGGUACAUCCGAACAUCACACUUGUGGAACAGGUACAGGACGGCAACAACAACUGCCCGAGUUACACCAGGAACGCACAAUCCCUCCAUCAGUGCUCAGACUGUCCGUAACAGGCUGAGAGAGGCUGGACUGAG
rnacentral:lncRNA from 1 species